UCCCUUGUAGCUCAGUUGGUAAAGAAUCUGCCUGCAGUGCAGGAAACCUGGGUUCGAUUCCUGGGUUGGGAA
rnacentral:tRNA from 1 species